GCCAGCGUGGCAUAGUGGUUUGAGUGCUGUACUGCAAUUAUGGAGACCAGAGUUUGAUUCUUUGCUCAGCCU